AUGGAGGCCUUGCAUAGUCGCCUGACGACUGGGGAGCAGUCCGGAGGUCAAGAACCUUGUCAACCAGAGUCUCCUCACCGAGGCCCGCAGCCCAAGUCUCCCUCUCAGCCCCGUCGGCAACAGCGAACUGGCUCCCCGAAGUCCCAUGGCACACUACAGCAACCCAGACAGUCCAGGAGACCGCAUCCUGAACGUAAACGUCUCCGGCACCAGCGGCAGAGCCUUGACUCAGAUGCAGCACUGGAACACAAACAUGAGGCAACAACAGCAACCGCAGUUUCUAGUUUGUCACCAGGAGUCCCAUGUUCCUCAGCGGGUGGACCCACCCAGUCUAAACCUGAAACCCAGGAGGGCACCCCAAAACAGAAACGCGAGCGUAAGCCUCAGAGACCAGGCAAAUACGUAUGCACUUACUGUGGCCGGGCAUGUGCAAAGCCUAGUGUCCUACAGAAACACAUUCGCUCCCACACAGGUGAGAGACCCUAUCCCUGUGCCCCGUGUGGCUUCUCUUUUAAGACCAAGAGUAACUUGUACAAACACCGCAAAUCACACACCCACAAGGUGAAGGCAGGGCUGACGCUUGGCGAGCCGAGAUCUUUAGAGGAGCAAGUCACUGAGUCAGAAGAUGAAACCAGACAGCUAUCAUCAGCAUCUUCCCUUACAGAAAGACGAGGCAGUGAAGCCUCGAUCAAGAGUCAUGAAACAGACAGGGCCAAAGAUUGCACUAAAGGAAACGAUGACUCCUACGCGGUGAAGAAGAGACUGGCCUUGCGUCUAAGUAGAGGAAAACGUGGCCCUCUAGACUCAUCUGACGAAAAGACCUCAUCUCUAAGUUUAGGGAGUAAAGGCAGUACAGAAUCAGGCUAUUUCUCUCGCUCUGAAAGCACUGAGCAGACACAGGACAGCCCCCCGAACACAAGUGCCAAAAGCUAUGCAGAAAUCAUCCUCGGCAAAUAUGGACGUCUUGGACACCUGCAGAGGAUGUCUCGGCACCAUAACCAGCUGCCCUCUGGUCAGGAGGACAAAAGCAUCCCAUUCACAGUCCCCAAGAAGCAGGUCAUUGACCAUAUCACCAAACUCAUCACUAUCAACGAGGCAGUGGUAGACACCAGUAAAAUUGACAGUGUAAAACCAAGGAGAUUCUCACUCUCCAGGAAGAAUAGUUCAGAUUCUCAGAAGAGUUCAUCUGUGAAAGAAACACUGAUUCACAGCCCUAAAGCUGGAGAUCUGGGCUAUAUUAACAGUGGCUCCAUCACCAUGGGAGUUCCAUGUGAAAAGUUUCAUCAUCCAUCCCUAAAUGUGGAGCAGCCAGCUGGCCAAACAUCCACCGCCCCAUUGGUGAGAAGUCACUCGAUGCCAUCUGCAGCUAGUUCAUUUGACGCCUCCAGCGGUGGCCUCAGUAAGUUCCGCUUAAGUCAGUCCUUUGAUGAACGACGACCUUCCGAAACGCAAGCAUCCCGUCGUUAUGGGAUGCUAAGACGGCAGCCAGCUAUUGAAAUCCCACUUGGUGCCGAAAUUACAAAAGAGGAACACGAGGGCUCUCAUUCACUUUACCCUGACACUGUGCCUGACCACACGCAAAGCCCACCGCAGCCAUACGAGUGUGAGGCCUGUGGCACUGGAUGCAACGAUUGGGAAGGUUAUAAGAAACACAAGCAAAGCCUGUGCUUAGCACAUCAUCCCAGAAAUGAGGUGGUAGUUAGUCAAACGGGGUGCUCGCAGCUAAUUAAUCAUGCAGUCAGAGCAGGAGCUUCAGCAAUGCGCAAGAGAAGGAAAGAAGAGAGUUUGGAAUUCGAUGAUCCCUCUUCGCCUUCAUUACCCUCCCCGGCCCUCUUAUCAGGACAGUGUAAAGAUGAAAGCAGUGUAGCUUACGAGGGCCCCAGAAGACUUGCGCUACAAACCUGUUCAGUAAUUCAACACACCAGUUCAUUUGAAAAACAAGAAUCUUUGUGCAAUGAGAAUCAAGGCACUGAGGCGACAAUAAACUCUCCACCUCAUGAAGACUAUCAACCGGUGCCUCAGAAACCAUCCCAACAGUCGAGAACACUGACAACUCGAAGUCUGGUCCGCCAACACAGUGUGCGGGUUCCAGAAAUACUGGUCACAGAGGAUUCCAACAUGAGCACAGCAACCUCAAAAAAGCCGACCACCACAGCAAAACAUUCAGAGAAACCUGAUGAAUUUCAGUGGCCGCAGAGAAGCCCCUCUCUGGCCCAGCUCCCCAUUGAAAAGCUUCCUCCAAAGAAGAAGCGCUUACGUUUAGCCGAGGCCGCACAGUCCUCCGGGGAAUCCAGUUUUGACUCUCUAUCCCUGCCCCACAGCCCUAGUCAGGACAGCAGUGCAUCCUAUGCAUCCAGCCGUUCCACGUCCUUUGAAGAGUCAAAUAGACCAGACAUGGAGAUGGCAGGAUCAACUCCGCUGAGGAGAUCAAGAGCUCCUCACAUGUUGACGGUGCCUGGGGUGCAUCAGCAUCGAGAGAUGAGGCGCUCUGCAUCUGAGCAGGCGCCCCAUGACCCACAGCCGAGCGUCCUAAUGGCUGAGAGCCGCAGUAAGUCUUUUGACUACAGUUGUCUGUCCCCUGAGCGCUCUGCAGUUGGCUGGAGGGAAAGAAGAAAGUGUCUCCUUAUGAGACACACUGCUAUCAGAGAUCCAGAUGAGGAGGAGCAGUGUACCGUAGCGAGCCGUAGUCCGGAACAUGUCAGCUCCACCACAUCCCGUCAAGCAAGCCUAACUUCUGUGUACUGCAGCAGGUCCCCUACAUCUCCUUCAUCAGGUGACGCAGUCUUACGUAAUCCAGUGAGAUUGCAAUGCAAAGAGAUCUUCUCUCAGUGGAAACUCAGUCAAAAUAUUCAGUUAGCGGGCAGCACAGAACUCCCAUCUGUAGAUCCUGUAAAAGAAGAGGCCUCACACAUCCAUACAGAGCAGCCUCCUCCUCAAGCGCCCCAGCCCUAUCCUACACAUGGACCAUCAGGGGCAGCUAGAGCUCGCUACCUCCCCAUGUCUACAGGCCUGAAGCUAGAGAUUCCUGUACUACACGGUGAUUAUUCAGAGGCGGUCCGAGUAAGUCCCUCCCACAUCCAGCGCUCCGUCCCUCACAUCACUCCCAGUCUGGAGUUACUGAGGCCCAUCACAUCUCCUGCAGUAGCAGUGCGUCUCCAAACAGACACCCUCACCCUAGCAUGCGCCAUAUACACCACGUUUUCUCAGUCCACGUCCCCCGGGCCCCAGGAGGCGGUUGAUGCCGUUUCGCACAAUAUAGGUAUCUCAACAGCUGAAUACAGAAACCAUAGGAACAUAAGUCCAGACGUUCAGUUGUGGUCUGGCGAUGGUCUGAGGACAUCAGGCUCAGGGGGCAAUAAGCGCAUGCUUUCCCCAUCAAACAGCAUGGAGCUCUCCACUGAGUCACAGCAGCAGCAGAAACGAGUGAAAGAAGAAGAAGAAGAAGAAGAAGAGGAGGGGGAGGUGGGGUGUGUUGACAAGGCAUCAGUGGACACGUGCAAUCAGGAAGUAAAAAGAGAGAAUCAGACAUGUCUGUCCAGUGUUUGUUCUCCCAUCGCACAUGGUGGACCAUCAUACCCCAGUCUGCUGUCCAGCACCUGUAAUAGCUGGUGCUAUUUGAACUACAUUAAACCAAACCCGUCUGCUCUGGAUGAACAGAAGCCCUCAGUGUAUUCAUCGUGGUCCACUAGCGGCUAUGACCCCAACCCACCUGGCCUCUCCAGCAAGACGGCUCUCUCUCUGCUGCACUGCAAGCAGAGGCUCAGUCCAUCCAUCUACACCAUAUCCCCCAUGUCAGUCAGGACAACGGAGUCAAUGGAGCAAGAGGACAGCAAAAGACAAUGCUCCACUGAGGUCUACAACAGCCAGUCGUACUGCAGAGACAACCAGGGAACGAACAAGGGACAGCAGUCAGCAGAUGAGGACAGGUCAAACAGAAAAGAGGAGGCGGCGGAGGAGGAAGAGGAAAAGAACGAGGAGGAGGAGGAAAUACAUUCAUGCUCCAGAAAUAAACAACCUCCCGAAGUUUGGAUCUCUGAGAGAGUAUCAAAUGAGAAGUAUGGUGUCAUGCAUGGUGGAGGUGGAGGGGAGUGCCAAUGUAAGGACUGUGGGUUCCACCUUAAGAAUACCAGUGUGCUGCAAAAGUGCACCCAUCGCAUCACAGAAUCCCCCCCAUCUUACUGCAAACACUGUAACCUUUCUCUCAAAGCCAAAGGAAGCCUCGUCAAACACCUGAGAUCGGAGGCACGUGGAAAAGAAACCUGUUGUUACCCAGAUGGCAACGAUGAAGAAGUCUGUGGAGAACGUUCACUUCAACCCGAUAAACAAAAAGAUCCUGACUACUCUGAUCUGGGGAAAAGUCGACCUGAUGAGGAUGACAAUGCAAGGGACAAAGAUGGCAGACGUGAUGAAGACAACCGCUCCAAGGCGGCUGAAAGCUCUCACACUGCCUCUUCUGACAGUGAGAAACCAGAACCCAGCCAAUCCAUCCCGGGUCCCCCUAAGGAUUCUACCCAGAAGAGCUCGGCCAGCGCCAGGAGGGCUCUGUUCGCCCGCAGACGCUUCGACGCUUCAGCGUCGGCGUCCUCCGGAGGCUCCCGUUCUCCAGGUUCUCAACCCGUGGUUCCACAGAGGGAGCCGUCUCCACCUCGGAGCCCCCAGCCCGGGCCCCACUCCCCAUCCAGAUGUCAUGUCUCCCCCUCCGCUCUGAGACCAGUCUCCCCUGUUAGAAGUCUUUCUCCUAUAAUAGUUCAGUCCCAUGGAUCGGAGUUCUCUGGGCCUCCAGGCUGCCUGACCGACACCUCUGCUCCGUGUCGAGCCUGGCUUCACCCAAGAGGCCGACCGUCUACAGCAAGACUGUCCAUGGAUGAGUUUGGUCUGAGCCACAUCUCCACACAUCCCGCGCGGCCUCGGAGAGCCAUCAACGUCCUGAGUCACCUCCCUCUGCACUCCCAGGGGGCGAGCAGGUCCCCGAGCCUCCUGAUUCCCAUCGGGGGGAUUCACAUGAUUCAGCCCCGGUCCACCCUCCCUCUGUACAGCCUGGUGAGCAGCCCCGUAGCAGCCACAGCCAGCCUCGCGGGGACAUCCUGGAGACUAAGGGACGCUCCAAAGGGGAGGUUCCCUCCGCUGCAGCGCCACGAUAAUCUCAAAGAGCCGUGGCAGCGCAGCCGAGCCAGCCCACAGGACCCGGAGGGGUUGGGGGGGGGAGGAAUGUCCGGGGGCGGCCGAUCGGACGCUUUAUUACACAGAAACCCUCCGAGUCCCGGGACAGAGACCAGGCAUCUGGGGGUCGACACAGACUCUCAUGUUAUAGAGAGGUGUGUUUACCCCGAGACCCCCCAAGGCCAAAAAAAGGCUCCUUCCUCCCAGACACAACACUGAUAGGAGGAGAGUCUGAAAGGGACAGUGCAAAAAGACAAUAAAAACAACCCGAGGCUGAUCUAAAAACACAGCACUGGGGUCGGAGACUGAGUACAAAAGGCAAGAGCACUUGAGCACCGCUUCUGAGCACCGCUUCUGAAUGACGCUAUAAUGUAAUUAUAUGAAUAAUAUAUUAUAUAUAUAUAUACACUAUGUUAGAUAUAUAUAUAUAUACUAUGUUAGAUAUGCAGUAUGUUUUGUAAAUCUUUUUUACCCUCUUGUUUGAUGUCAUCUGUGUUAAUUUAUUUAUGUGCUAAUAUGCAAAUUCUGUACUAUAUGCAAAAAGCAGCUGGAAUGAAAAAUAGACAAAGUUUUAAUCAGUUUCUCUAUUAACCCCCCCACCCCACCCCACCCCCUUUGACAGCUCUAAUAUACUAUUGCUGUGUUAAUGUACUGUAUUACCAGAAUGGAUAUAGAAAGGUACUACAAUUAUUUAUUCACCCCGACCAGUAUUUUGAAGUGCAAUUUGUAUGUGAAGAUUGUGGUUUGAAAUGUCAUUCUUAAAAGCUGUGAUUAUUAUAAUUAUUAUUAUUAUUAUUAUUAUUAUUAUUAUUAUUAUUAUGUCAGAUUUUUAUUAUUUUGUUGUGUUGUCUUUGUUUGUGUUCAAAGAAGCAGGGUUACGAUCACCUCCUUUUUCUAUAGAAGUUUCAGACGUUUGGAGUGCACUGACCAAUAAUUUGAUAUCCAGAGGAAACCUGUUUCACGUACAUGAUUUAUAUUACAACUGUGUGACGGGCGUGGUUUUUGAGUUAGUUACUGCUCUACUUUUCCAGUGGAACGUACCGUAAGGCAGCGAUGAAGUACUCAAGUCCUGGACUCGGACUCAAGUUCCUAUUCUCUGGACUCGUAACUCGACCCCAACUCAAACUCAGGAAAUGGUGACAUGACUCGGACUCUUCUUUGCUGACUCGGACUCGAGUCCGACUCGAGAGAUGCUAUUCUCUGGACUCGAGACUCGACUUGGACUUGCGCAGUGAUGACUUGGACUUGGACUCAGACUCUGGGUUUUAUGAAAUCGGACUCGGAAGUUGGAUGAAGUUUCUGACUACUGUUAUGUGUAAGAGGCAGUGAUGACAAGUCCUGGACUUGUGAUGGCAAAUCCUGGACUCGGACUCGAGUCCCUAUUCUCUGGCCUCGUAACUCGACUCAAACUCAGGUAAUGGUGACAUGACUCAGACUCUUCUUUGCUGACUUGGACUUGAAAACUCGGGACUCGAGACUUGACUCCGACUCGACAGUUGGUGACUCAACUACAACGCUGCUGUAAGUUAGUUUUUUUUAAAUGCUAAUUGAUGUGUAGGAAUCAAUGGAAAUCAGUGGUAAGAAUCCCACGUUUUACUGCACGCUAAAGACAACGAUUAGGAAUGUAAAGCAUGGGAUUUUGAUUUGUACGUUUGAAACGGAACACAGAAGAGCCUUGUUCUUAGUUUCCCUGAAACCUGCAGAUACCGUGGCGAUGAGCGUGGCACCACCCUGUGGCUGUGCUGAGAUUGUACUUGAUGUUGAAAUUCCACUUCUCAGAAUGGAAACCCUAGUUUUAUUAAAAAUCCGUUUCACAGCCUGCCUUUAAUUCUUUUUUAAUUUUUAAUUUCAUUGUGUUGUGUUUGACACUUAUCUUCCUGCUCUCCUCUGUGCUGAUACCGUCACAUAAAGGCAGCUCUUCUUUCUUUCUCCAGGCUGAAGCGGUCACGUGUAGCCACUGGGUGGCAGGAGAAAGCAACUUUAAGCCCAUCUCGGCUCAUGCUGCCUGGGAACUGAAAGGGAUGACGUCGCACACUGAAGGGGUCAUAACCCCUGACACCUGAGCGAGCUCCACCCAUUGUAGAAGACCAUGGAAUCCAACUGCAAGCUCCGGAAUAAAGCCAGGCCAGGAUGACGGAGUGAUCCUGCAAAGUGUGUUGAGGUGAAAUCGUCUGCAGCAGACCGGAAACAAAAGGAAAACCAAGCUGGCUUAAUGACGCU